rnacentral:rRNA from 1 species
GACGAACGCUGGCGGCGUGCUUAACACAUGCAAGUCGAACGAAGUGGCGAACGGGUGAGUAACGCGUAAUCAACCUGCCCUUCAGAGGGGGACAACAGUUGGAAACGACUGCUAAUACCGCAUACUGAAGGAGGGGAUUGCGUCUGAUUAGCUAGUUGGAGGGGUAACGGCCAACCAAGGCGAUGAUCAGUAGCCGGACUGAGGGGAUGGAUGGCCACAUUGGGACUGGGACACGGCCCAGAAUCCUACGGGAGGCAGCAGUGGGGAAUCUUCCGAAAUGGACGAAAGUCUGGCGGAGCACCGCCGCGUGAGUGAUGGCGGCCUUCGGGUUGUAAAGCUCUGUUAAGCGGGACGCGGUACCGGAAUAGAAAGCCACGGCUAACUACGUGCCAGCAGCCGCGGUAAUAC